rnacentral:misc_RNA from 1 species
UUUCCGUAGGUGAACCUGCGGAAGGAUCAUUACCGAGUGAGGGACUCUCAGGCCCGACGUCAAACCCUGUGUUUUUGUGACCUUGUUGCUUUGGCGGGUCCGCCUCGCUGAGGGGCCGUCGGAAGCUCACCGCUUUCGGCACGAGACCGCCGGUAGCUCCCUUCAAAUCUUAAUAACCUUGUAGACUGAGUCUAGUUACAAUAACAACAACUUACAACAAAGGAUAUCUUGGUUCUAGAAUCGAUGAAGCAAGCCGCGGAUCGGAAGCGCACAGGUCGG